AGUGGGGAAUCUUGCACAAUGAGCGAAAGCCUGAUGCAGCAACGCCGCGUGCGGGAUGAAGGCCCUAGGGUUGAAAACCGCUUUCAGUAGGGAAGAAAAUGACGGUACCUACAGAAGAAGGUGCGGCCAACUACGUGCCAGCAGCCGCGGUGACACGUAGGCACCAAGCGUUAUCCGGAUUUAUUGGGCGUAAAGAGCUCGUAGGCGGUUUGGUAAGUCGGGUGUGAAAACUCUGGGCUCAACCCAGAGAGGCCACCCGAUACUGCUAUGACUAGAGUACGGUAGGGGAGCGGGGAAUUCAUGGUGUAGCGGUGAAAUGCGCAGAUAUCAUGAGGAACACCAGCGGCGAAGGCGCCGCUCUGGGCCGUAACUGACGCUGAGGAGCGAAAGCAUGGGUAGCAAACAGGAUUAGAUACCC
rnacentral:rRNA from 1 species